CCUACGGGAGGCAGCAGUGGGGAAUUGUUCGCAAUGGGCGCAAGCCUGACGACGCAACGCCGCGUGGAGGAUGAAGAUCUUCGGGUCGUAAACUCCUGUCGAGCGGGACGAAUACCCAUUCAGCUAACAUCUGGAUGGGCUGACGGUACCGCUAAAGGAAGCCCCGGCUAACUCCGUGCCAGCAGCCGCGGUAAUACGGGGGGGCAAGCGUUGUUCGGAAUUACUGGGCGUAAAGGGCUCGUAGGCGGCCAACUAAGUCAGACGUGAAAUCCCCAGGCUCAACCUGGGAACUGCGUCUGAUACUGGAUGGCUUGAAUCCGGGAGAGGGAUGCAGAAUUCCAGGUGUAGCGGUGAAAUGCGUAGAUAUCUGGAGGAAUACCGGUGGCGAAGGCGGCAUCCUGGACCGGCAUUGACGCUGAGGAGCGAAAGCUAGGGGAGCAAACGGGAUUAGAUACCCCGGUAGUCCUAGCCCUAAACGAUGAAUGCUUGGUGUAACGGGUAUCGAUCCCUGUUGUGCCGAAGCUAACGCAUUAAGCAUUCCGCCUGGGGAGUACGGCCGCAAGGCUGAAACUCAAAGGAAUUGACGGGGGCCCGCACAAGCGGUGGAGCAUGUGGUUCAAUUCGACGCAACGCGAAGAACCUUACCCAGGCUCGAACGGCAACUGACAUCCGGCGAAAGCCGGCUCCCGCAAGGGCAGUUGUCGAGGUGCUGCAUGGCUGUCGUCAGCUCGUGUCGUGAGAUGUUGGGUUAAGUCCCGCAACGAGCGCAACCCUUGUCCGCUGUUGCCAUCAGUUAUGCUGGGCACUCUGCGGAGACUGCCGGUGAUAAACCGGAGAUGGUGGGGAUGACGUCAAGUCAGCAUGGCCUUUUAUGUCUGGGGCUACACAGUGCUACAUGGCAGAUACAACCGUCGCGAUGCCGCAAGGUGGAGCUAAUCCGAAAAGUCUGUCCCAUUUC
rnacentral:rRNA from 1 species